UGGCCAUUCCUCCACCUAGGAGCAGCAAGGACAUGUUGCCACUUCCAGGAAGCCACACCGAGCCAGGUAGGGAGCCUGCCAGGCCCAUGCCAACUGGACUCUAAAUCAGACUUUCAAUGAAGAUCAGAAAUGCCGGUUUAUAGAGCUUUCUGUCUGGUAAAGUACCAGAUAAAACAGCUUUUACUGUACGGUGUUACUCACACUACAAAUCUAGAAUAAGAACAACUUACUGUGUACUUUUAUAUACAUGAUUUUGAAUGGCAAACAGAUACAAAAUGAAUUUUUUGUCAAAGAACAAACAACUUAUUCUAUUACAUGACAAAUAGCAUGUGAAUGUAAUCAAGACCUUGUAACCUAUGUGAACACAGCAGAAUUAAGGUUGUUCAUAGAACUUUAUCUAUGAGUAUUGCCUAACUUGAGUGCUUAGCAUUCUCAGUGUAAAUUUUAUGUAGGGAAUUUUUUUUUUUUUUAAUUUAUUUCACAGAUUCUUCCUAAAGUUCCAAGUUCUCCACAUCAUUUACAGACAUGCUUCUUAAAAAACAAUGGACUGAAAAAGAGGAUUUCUUCUAAUGAGUUUAUCUAUCCUCUCUUCAGUGCAUAUUUUAUAUGGCCUCCUUAAUAUGGAAGAUCACAACAUUCUUUACUUAAAGUCAUAAUAGGUACAGGAGAAAAGACAUUAUUUAAAGAGGAAGUGACCCUCACUGAUUUGGAGGGAAGGAGAGUUCUAAUCCAGAGCACCACAAGUGAAAAUGUGACCACACAGCUUUCAGGGUUGCAAGGAUUAGGUAGGAAAUAAAUUCAGGGUGGGGAAUGACCAAGGUUUUCAAAAACUGAGGGCCAAGUUAAAAGAGAAAUAAAACACUAAGUGAAAAAACAAAGGUUUUUUUUCCCUAGUAAGCAAGGUUAGAAAGAGAAAGGUGUUUUGAAAUUAGGAAGAGAGUAUGACAAGAGAGAAGGUAUUUUGUAUUUUUAAAAACAGAAGAUCUAGGUUGUAAACUCCAGAGGUCACAGACUGUCACUUAAUUAUGUUUGUACAGUACCUAGCACAAUGGGACCUAACCCUGGCUGGGCCCUUAGGCACUGCCACAAUGAAAACACCACAUACU